UACGUAGGCAGCGAGCGUUGUUCGGAGUUACUGGGCGUAAAGGGUGUGUAGGCGGUUGUUUAAGGUUGGUGUGAAAUCUCCCGGCUCAACUGGGAGGGUGCGCCGAAUACUGAAUGACUUGGAGUGCGGGAGAGGAGAGUGGAAUUCCUGGUGUAGCGGUGAAAUGCGUAGAUAUCAGGAGGAACACCGGUGGUGUAGACGGCUCUCUGGACCGUAACUGACGCUGAGACACGAAAGCGUGGGUAGCAAACAGG
rnacentral:rRNA from 1 species